rnacentral:rRNA from 1 species
AGUGAACGCUGGCGGUAGGCCUAACACAUGCAAGUCGAACGGCAGCACAGUAAGAGCUUGCUCUUACGGGUGGCGAGUGGCGGACGGGUGAGGAAUACAUCGGAAUCUACUUUUUCGUGGGGGAUAACGUAGGGAAACUUACGCUAAUACCGCAUACGACCUACGGGUGAAAGCAGGGGAUCUUCGGACCUUGCGCGAUUGAAUGAGCCGAUGUCGGAUUAGCUAGUUGGCGGGGUAAAGGCCACCAAGGCGACGAUCCGUAGCUGGUCUGAGAGGAUGAUCGGCCACACUGGAACUGAGACACGGUCCAGACUCCUACGGGAGGCAGCAGUGGGGAAUAGUGGACAAUGGGCGCAAGCCUGAUCCAGCCAUACCGCGUGGGUGAAGAAGGCCUUCGGGUUGUAAAGCCCUUUUGUUGGGAAAGAAAAGCAGCAGGUUAAUACCCCGCUGUUCUGACGGUACCCAAAGAAUAAGCACCGGCUAACUUCGUG